rnacentral:rRNA from 1 species
UACGUAGGGUGCAGGCGUUAAUCGGAAUUACUGGGCGUAAAGCGUGCGCAGGCGGUUUGCUAAGUCAGGUGUGAAAGCCCCGAGCUUAACUUGGGAAUUGCGCUUGUGACUGGCGUGCUGGAGUGUGGCAGAGGGAGGUGGAAUUCCACGUGUAGCAGUGAAAUGCGUAGAGAUGUGGAGGAACACCGAUGGCGAAGGCAGCCUCCUGGGCCAGCACUGACGCUCAUGCACGAAAGCGUGGGGAGCAAACAGG